AUUACCAGGAACUUUCUGUUGUUUACGGUUUUCAUAACCUUUCUAUUCGGGAUACAAUUACAAGUAUCAGCGCUGUACUGUUAUAGAUGCAUGGAGAGAUGCGACGCAGAAUACGCACGUUUGCUUGUAGAGUGCACUUCCACAGACAUUUUGGAUGGUCUACGCAACAUUAAAUCGAGAGUGGGUCAAAAUUUUGAAUUCGAUGCUACGUCUCCGGUUGCGUGUUUUGCCUUAUAUGGAAAUGGUAUGAAAAUAAGAGGUUGUGGAGCCAAGAAUUUCUGGAGGACUUUUGGAGAAGGAUACAUCCUAGCGACCUGUAAUGAUAGUGAUAAGUGCAAUAAUUUUCCCGAGGGUGUAUAGAUGGUUAAUCUCUGAUUGAAAUAUAUGAACAAAUGAGGUGCCUAAGUAAACAUGAUGCAUGCUAUCAGAAAGACACUUUUUUUAAAGUGAUCAAUCGAAAAAAUUUCAAUAAAGUAUACGAUAAUUAAAA